GUUCUCCUCCGAUCACAGAAGUUAAGCAACGUCGAGCCUAGUCAGUAACUAGAUGGGUGACCACUCAGGAAUACCAGGUGGUGUAAG